GCCUCAGUAGCUCAGAGGAAGAGCGGCGGUCUCCUACACCGUGUGCAAGGGUUCGAUUCCCUUCUGGGGCAC
rnacentral:tRNA from 1 species